CUGGAGAGUGACAGUGUGCGAGAGGAUUUGCUACGGAGGGAGCGGGAGCUCAGUGCCCAGAUUGCUGCUGGCAGGGCGGAGGGCUCUGAAGCUGCAGAGCUGGCAGAAAUCUAUGCCAAACUGGAGGAGAUUGAGGCUGACAAGGCACCUGCCAGGGCAUCAGUCAUUCUCGCUGGGCUUGGCUUUACCCCUAAAAUGCAGCAGCAGCCCACCCGGGAGUUCUCAGGUGGCUGGAGGAUGAGGCUGGCCCUGGCCCGGGCCCUCUUUGCUAGGCCAGAUCUUCUGCUGUUAGAUGAACCUACAAACAUGCUGGAUGUCAGGGCCAUCCUGUGGCUGGAGAAUUACCUGCAGACGUGGCCCUCCACCAUCCUAGUCGUCUCCCACGACCGCAACUUCUUGAAUGCCAUCGCCACAGACAUCAUCCACCUGCACAGCCAGCGGCUAGAUGGUUACCGGGGAGACUUUGAGACCUUCAUCAAGAGUAAGCAGGAGCGGCUGCUCAACCAGCAGCGUGAAUAUGAGGCGCAGCAGCAGUAUCGCCAGCACAUCCAGGUUUUCAUUGACCGGUUUCGCUACAAUGCCAACAGGGCCUCUCAAGUGCAGAGUAAACUCAAGAUGCUGGAGAAGCUGUGAGUACAGCAUCCUUGGCCAGGGCCU
rnacentral:sRNA from 1 species